CUUAAAUUUUGAGUUAGAGAUGCCAGCAGCGGUUACCAGGGAAACUUGACUUCUAAAAUUACACUAGCAAUGUCUUUUCUCAAAUACUAUAUCGGAUCUUCAGGAAAUGCACCAUCUGAACAGACACAGAUUGAGCAAGUAUCACAGUGGAUGGUCACGGAUGCUUUACCUACAAGUGAAAUAAAGAUCUCCCAAACCUAAGGAUGAUACAGGAUCUCUAACAAUUGCUGCUGAUCGCUAUCAGAGGAUGGUCGAAGGCCUUUUACUGGGCUAGAUGGUCUUUGGUUUGAUCUGAUGCAGCCAGGCUUGUAUCUCGACAAACUUGUGCCCUUCCUAGAACUGCCAGCGUGCCGCUCCUUGGGAGGCCUGUCCUUCCGUCCUGUGGUUGUACACCUGCUGGCCCGAUGGAAAUUUGUCCGUGCCUGGGGUUCCUAAGCACUGCUGAGAUAAUUGGCCAACUUGAGAACUUUGGAAUAUACCGCUGUGAGAAGCUGAUUGCUGUGCUGAAUUUGAACUAUGGAAAGGGUGCUGCGGCCCACACAGUUGUGCACAAGUGGAUUGUACCCAUCCUCUGCAGAAGGUCCUGAAUUCCAGCUACCCUGUGAUCUCCUUCUGCAAACGUUUUUGUUAUGACCUUCGCAUAACGUUCAACUCUGAGCUCCCUAGGCUAAAUCAGCACAAUCCUUCAUCCGGAUCCAAAAGUGCAACGUCUCUAUGCCGUAUAAAGUGCCCCAGUUCUGAGCCAACUGAUUGUGCCAAGUUUUGUUCCACGCUACUGGUUCUGAAACUGUUGAUGCAGCAGAUGCAGGAAUGCAGCUUCAGAUCAUCACGAAGGGACAAAUGGGCAAAUUUGCUCGGUGCUUCUGACUGUAGAGUUCCUCAUGCCAAAUGUUUAUUGUCUGGCAGUCAGAGAGAAGUCGUCUAACUAUACAGACUAACAAUGACUUUGAAGAAGGGGGAGAGGAUCCACUUUCUGCAGCGAUGUUGAGAAAAAUUUGUUGCUGCUAAUUACAAAAUGCUUUGUGAUGCCAUUUUGACGAAAACUGAAGGUGAGAAACCUGACCAUAGUUUAAGAGCCUUAGAGACAAAGUUCCUGUAGCUAACCACAAACUGAGAUGAGCAUAUGAAUUUCUACAUCUCAAAACUGUGCUGCUGUGUAGAAGAACCAUUUCUAGAAGUAAAAGGGCAUUUGUCUCCAAAGUCUCUUCAGCCCGUGUGCCUAACUCCUCUGUUGUUCCAGUGACGUUUUGUUUCAUCUUCUUACCAAUUGAUGUCCAGCAUGAAAUGAAUUGAAUACUAAAUCCAGUGGCCAACGACUAGCUAUUAACUAGUAGUAUCUGGGUUGGAUCUCCAGCGGUAGCAUGUAUCAGAGGUCAACUCCAUGUGCUGUUACCAGGAUAACAACUCAGAAGAAUGAGCUAUGCAGUCCUUGCAGAAGACAGUAACCCAGUUUGAGUACAUUCUGUGUUUCCAGAAUGUCGUAAGCUUUUGAAAAUAAACAGUGAAAGUCCACUACA
rnacentral:lncRNA from 1 species